rnacentral:rRNA from 1 species
UACGUAGGGGGCAAGCGUUGUCCGGAAUCAUUGGGCGUAAAGCGCGUGUAGGCGGCCAGGUAAGUCCGUUCUGAAAGCCCGGGGCUCAACCCCGGGAGGCGGAUGGAUACUGCUUGGCUCGAGUCCGGAAGAGGCGAGUGGAAUUCCCGGUGUAGCGGUGAAAUGCGCAGAUAUCAGGAGGAACACCCGUGGCGAAAGCGGCUCUCUGGGACGGUACUGACGCUGAGACGCGAAAGCGUGGGGAGCAAACAGG